rnacentral:tRNA from 1 species
GGGCCCAUAGCUCAGUUGGUUAGAGCAGAGGACUCAUAAUCCUUUGGUCCUUGGUUCAAGUCCAAGUGGGCCCACCA